rnacentral:rRNA from 1 species
UGGGGAAUAUUGCACAAUGGAGGGAACUCUGAUGCAGCGACGCCGCGUGAACGAAGAAGGCUUUCGAGUCGUAAAGUUCUUUUAUAUGGGAAGAUAAUGACGGUACCAUAAGAAGAAGCCCCGGCUAACUACGUGCCAGCAGCCGCGGUAAUACGUAGGGGGCUAGCGUUGUCCGGAAUCACUGGGCGUAAAGGGUUCGCAGGCGGAAAUGCAAGUCAGGUGUAAAAGGCAGUAGCUUAACUACUGUAAGCAUUUGAAACUGCAUAUCUUGAGAAGAGUAGAGGUAAGUGGAAUUUUUAGUGUAGCGGUGAAAUGCGUAGAUAUUAAAAAGAAUACCGGUGGCGAAGGCGACUUACUGGGCUCAUUCUGACGCUGAGGAACGAAAGAGUGGGUAGCAAACAGG